CUGCGGAGGCGCUGUCCGGGCUGGUGCCGGGAGCACGGAGCCGGCCAGGAGAAACCGGGGGGGCUGCUCAAGGGGGGCACGUCCUGCUGCCCCUGCGAGACAGGUGUGUGACAGAGCCGGGAGCACCUGGGGACCCCCCGGAUCCUUUUUUGGGGCGUUUUCCCCUUUUCCCGUCAUUUUCCUGGGCGGGAGCCCAGCCCCGGGGAUCCCCCUUUGCCUUUGGGGUUUUCUCCCCAAAUAUUUGGGUUUUCCACCAAAAACCCCGGCCAGGAUGGAGCUUUAUUUUUCCAGAGAAAAAAAAAACCCAAACCCAGCUCCUUUUUGGGGACAAAUCCCAGCUUUUUAUUAAUAAUAAAUGAACUUAAAUCCCAGGAAACCUCCUCGGGCUGGAGCUCCAACCUCUGGCACGGCUUUAAUUUCCCCUCCUCAUAACCAACCCAGAGCUUUUCCCUCUUUUUUGGGGUUGUUUUUGGGGUUUUUUGUUUAAUUUUUAAAGUCAUGGUUACUCUCAUGUCUUCUGUAUAUGUUGCACUGAAAGUUAAUAUUUAAUGUUUUAAUUUAUUUCGAGUGGUUUAAAUUAAUUUUGAUUCCUAUAAAAGAUGUUCUUGUCC